ACGCUGGCGGCGUGCCUAAUACAUGCAAGUCGAGCGAGCUGAAUUCAAAGAUCCCUUCGGGGUGAUUUGUUGGACGCUAGCGGCGGAUGGGUGAGUAACACGUGGGCAAUCUGCCCUAAAGACUGGGAUACCACUUGGAAACAGGUGCUAAUACCGGAUAACAACAUGAAUCGCAUGAUUCAAGUUUGAAAGGCGGCGUAAGCUGUCACUUUAGGAUGAGCCCGCGGCGCAUUAGCUAGUUGGUGGGGUAAAGGCCUACCAAGGCAAUGAUGCGUAGCCGAGUUGAGAGACUGAUCGGCCACAUUGGGACUGAGACACGGCCCAAACUCCUACGGGAGGCAGCAGUAGGGAAUCUUCCACAAUGGACGCAAGUCUGAUGGAGCAACGCCGCGUGAGUGAAGAAGGUUUUCGGAUCGUAAAGCUCUGUUGUUGGUGAAGAAGGAUAGAGGCAGUAACUGGUCUUUAUUUGACGGUAAUCAACCAGAAAGUCACGGCUAACUACGUGCCAGCAGCCGCGGUAAUACGUAGGUGGCAAGCGUUGUCCGGAUUUAUUGGGCGUAAAGCGAGCGCAGGCGGAAUGAUAAGUCUGAUGUGAAAGCCCACGGCUCAACCGUGGAACUGCAUCGGAAACUGUCAUUCUUGAGUGCAGAAGAGGAGAGUGGAACUCCAUGUGUAGCGGUGGAAUGCGUAGAUAUAUGGAAGAACACCAGUGGCGAAGGCGGCUCUCUGGUCUGCAACUGACGCUGAGGCUCGAAAGCAUGGGUAGCGAACAGGAUUAGAUACCCUGGUAGUCCAUGCCGUAAACGAUGAGCGCUAGGUGUUGGGGACUUUCCGGUCCUCAGUGCCGCAGCAAACGCAUUAAGCGCUCCGCCUGGGGAGUACGACCGCAAGGUUGAAACUCAAAGGAAUU
rnacentral:rRNA from 1 species